rnacentral:rRNA from 1 species
UACGGGGGGAGCAAGCGUUGUUCGGAUUUACUGGGCGUAAAGGGCGCGUAGGCGGCCACCGCAAGUCGGUUGUGAAAUCUCCGGGCUUAACCCGGAAAGGUCAAUCGAUACUGCGGGGCUAGAGUGCAGAAGGGGUAACUGGAAUUCUCGGUGUAGCGGUGAAAUGCGUAGAUAUCGAGAGGAACACCUGCGGCGAAGGCGGGUUGCUGGGCUGACGCUGACGCUGAAGCGCGAAAGCUAGGGGAGCGAACGGG